rnacentral:rRNA from 1 species
AGAGUUUGAUCAUGGCUCAGAUUGAACGCUGGCGGCAGGCCUAACACAUGCAAGUCGAACGGUAACAGGAAUCAGCUUGCUGAUUCGCUGACGAGUGGCGGACGGGUGAGUAAUGUCUGGGAAACUGCCUGAUGGAGGGGGAUAACUACUGGAAACGGUAGCUAAUACCGCAUAACGUCGCAAGACCAAAGAGGGGGACCUUCGGGCCUCUUGCCAUCGGAUGUGCCCAGAUGGGAUUAGCUUGUUGGUGGGGUAACGGCUCACCAAGGCGACGAUCCCUAGCUGGUCUGAGAGGAUGACCAGCCACACUGGAACUGAGACACGGUCCAGACUCCUACGGGAGGCAGCAGUGGGGAAUAUUGCACAAUGGGCGCAAGCCUGAUGCAGCCAUGCCGCGUGUAUGAAGAAGGCCUUCGGGUUGUAAAGUACUUUCAGCGGGGAGGAAGGGAGUAAAGUUAAUACCUUUGCUCAUUGACGUUACCCGCAGAAGAAGCACCGGCUAACUCCGUGCCAGCAGCCGCGGUAAUACGGAGGGUGCAAGCGUUAAUCGGAAUUACUGGGCGUAAAGCGCACGCAGGCGGUUUGUUAAGUCAGAUGUGAAAUCCCCGGGCUCAACCUGGGAACUGCAUCUGAUACUGGCAAGCUUGAGUCUCGUAGAGGGGGGUAGAAUUCCAGGUGUAGCGGUGAAAUGCGUAGAGAUCUGGAGGAAUACCGGUGGCGAAGGCGGCCCCCUGGACGAAGACUGACGCUCAGGUGCGAAAGCGUGGGGAGCAAACAGGAUUAGAUACCCUGGUAGUCCACGCCGUAAACGAUGUCGACUUGGAGGUUGUGCCCUUGAGGCGUGGCUUCCGGAGCUAACGCGUUAAGUCGACCGCCUGGGGAGUACGGCCGCAAGGUUAAAACUCAAAUGAAUUGACGGGGGCCCGCACAAGCGGUGGAGCAUGUGGUUUAAUUCGAUGCAACGCGAAGAACCUUACCUGGUCUUGACAUCCACGGAAGUUUUCAGAGAUGAGAAUGUGCCUUCGGGAACCGUGAGACAGGUGCUGCAUGGCUGUCGUCAGCUCGUGUUGUGAAAUGUUGGGUUAAGUCCCGCAACGAGCGCAACCCUUAUCCUUUGUUGCCAGCGGUCCGGCCGGGAACUCAAAGGAGACUGCCAGUGAUAAACUGGAGGAAGGUGGGGAUGACGUCAAGUCAUCAUGGCCCUUACGACCAGGGCUACACACGUGCUACAAUGGCGCAUACAAAGAGAAGCGACCUCGCGAGAGCAAGCGGACCUCAUAAAGUGCGUCGUAGUCCGGAUUGGAGUCUGCAACUCGACUCCAUGAAGUCGGAAUCGCUAGUAAUCGUGGAUCAGAAUGCCACGGUGAAUACGUUCCCGGGCCUUGUACACACCGCCCGUCACACCAUGGGAGUGGGUUGCAAAAGAAGUAGGUAGCUUAACCUUCGGGAGGGCGCUUACCACUUUGUGAUUCAUGACUGGGGUGAAGUCGUAACAAGGUAACCGUAGGGGAACCUGCGGUUG